rnacentral:rRNA from 1 species
ACGAAGGGGGCUAGCGUUGUUCGGAAUUACUGGGCGUAAAGCGCACGUAGGCGGACUUUUAAGUCAGGUGUGAAAUCCCGGGGCUCAACCUCGGAACUGCAUUUGAAACUGGGAGUCUUGAGACCAGGAGAGGUUAGCGGAAUACCGAGUGUAGAGGUGAAAUUCGUAGAUAUUCGGUGGAACACCAGUGGCGAAGGCGGCUAACUGGACUGGUACUGACGCUGAGGUGCGAAAGUGUGGGGAGCAAACAGGAUUAGAUACCCUGGUAGUCCACACCGUAAACGAUGAGAGCUAGUUGUUGGCAGGCAUGCCUGUCGGUGACGCAGCUAACGCAUUAAGCUCUCCGCCUGGGGAGUACGGCCGCAAGGUUA